AUUGAACGCUGGCGGCAUGCCUUACACAUGCAAGUCGAACGGUAACGGGCCUUCGGGUGCCGACGAGUGGCGAACGGGUGAGUAAAGUAUCGGAACGUACCUUUCAGUGGGGGAUAACGUAGCGAAAGUUACGCUAAUACCGCAUAUUCUGUGAGCAGGAAAGCAGGGGAUCGCAAGACCUUGCGCUGAUUGAGCGGCCGAUAUCAGAUUAGCUAGUUGGUGAGGUAAAGGCUCACCAAGGCGACGAUAUGUAGCGGGUCUGAUAGGAUGAUCCGCCACACUGGAACUGAGACACGGUCCAGACUCCUACGGGAGGCAGCAGUGGGGAAUUUUGGACAAUGGGGGCAACCCUGAUCCAGCCAUGCCGCGUGAGUGAAGAAGGCCUUCGGGUUGUAAAGCUCUUUCGGCCGGGAAGAAAUCGUAUCAGCUAAUACCUGGUGCGGAUGACGGUACCGGCAUAAGAAGCACCGGCUAACUACGUGCCAGCAGCCGCCGUAAGAC
rnacentral:rRNA from 1 species